rnacentral:lncRNA from 1 species
GCGAGGAACUCUCGUCACUCGAGUCUAUUUCUACUAGUUUCUACUUCGCGAUCGAGACGGAGAUUCUUCUUGAAACUGCAUUCUCCGCGACUAUUGGGACCUGAAAGUUGGUACGGAUGGGCUCUUCAAUCCUUCUGAAAGAGCGGUCUAUAUCGACUACCCAACCGUUGCAUCGUACCCUUCUGCUCAAUUUGAUCACCCCCGAAAUAUUCGAAUGCGAGACUCCCCGUAUGCCACACUAACCGCAGACAAAUUGUAGUCGAAUUACGUAUCUCUGCACAUGAAAACCCAACAGUUAAUGCAAGCGAGGGCGCAAAAAUCCCAGCAUCCUGGAACCUUAGUCUAGUCUCCGGCGUCAAGUGUGCAGGGACUCUAAAUGGCGCUUCGGGAAUGGGCAAGGUCGACUCGACCGGGAAAGCUAACCCUAACUUCUAUUAGCCUCGACUUUCCACUGGGAGGGAGAUGAAGGAGUAGCAACUCUGUUGGUAGUUAGUGUUGAGCCACCAAAUGGCCCCAAGUCUUUUAGCCACAUUAGCCUGGGCCUGUGCCAGUGACGAAGCAACGGACUGGAUUGCAACGGGUGCCACGGUGCCAUUCGACCCCAUCCUUCGCUCGAUUGGCGUUCGCCCGAGUCACUCUGUGAAUUGCCAACAAAGAACAAAGGGGAGAAGUUGGCCCGGCCUCCAAU